rnacentral:rRNA from 1 species
UACGAAGGGGGCGAGCGUUGUUCGGAUUUACUGGGCGUAAAGGGCGCGCAGGCGGCUCAUUUUGUCAGGCGUGAAAGCCCCGGGCUUAACCUGGGAACUGCGUUUGAUACGGAUGGGCUAGAGUUCGGGAGAGGAGAGUGGAAUUCCUGGUGUAGCGGUGAAAUGCGCAGAUAUCAGGAGGAACACCGGUGGCGAAGGCGGCAUCCUGGACCGGCAUUGACGCUGAGGAGCGAAAGCCAGGGGAGCAAACGGG